UGAAUACGAGAUGCUACGGCGUCGAAGCAGUGUAUGUCAGACUUCCAAGAAAAGCUCGCAAUGUCAUAAAUAAAGAAUGCCUGUACCAUAACCGACACAGGUGGGUAGGUAGAGUAUACUAAGGGGCGCGAGAUAACUCUCUCUAAGGAACUCGGCAAAAUAACUCCGUAACUUCGGGAGAAGGAGUGCCUUCUUUAAGAAGGUUGCAAUAACAAGAUCCAAGCAACUGUUUAUCAAAAACACAGGUCUCCGCUAAGUCGUAAGACGAUGUAUGGGGGCUGACGCCUGCCCAGUGCCAGAAGGUUAAAGAAGUUGGUUAGCUUUUGCGAAGCUGAUGACUGAAGCCCUGGUGAACCGCGGCCGUAACAAUAACGGUCCUAAGGUAGCGAAAUUCCUUGUCGGGUAAGUUCCGACCCGCACGAAAGGCGUAAUGAUUUGGAUACUGUCUCGGAGAGGGACUCGGUGAAAUAGACUUGUCUGUGAAGAUGCGGACUACCUGCACCAGGACAGAAAGACCCUAUGAAGCUUUACUGUAACUUGAAAUUGAAAUUGGACUUUAUUUGCGCAGUAUAGGUGGAAGGCGUUGAAAGUAAUCUUGCGGGAUUAGUGGAGCCAUCAGUGAGAUACCACUCCUAUAAUGUUAGAUUUCUAACUUUGGAUCAUGAUCUGGUCAAAGAACAGUUUCAGGCGGGCAGUUUGACUGGGGCGGUCGCCUCCCAAAUGGUAACGGAGGCGUACAAAGGUUUCCUCUGAACGGGUAGAAAUCGUAUCUAGAGUGUAAAGGCAUAAGGAAGCUUGACUGUGAGACCUACAAGUCGAGCAGGGACGAAAGUCGCUCUUAGUGAUCUGACGGUGCUGAGUGGAAAGGCCGUCACUCAACGGAUAAAAGUUACUCUAGGAUAACGGGCUGAUCUCCCCCAAGAGUUCACAUCGACGGGGAGGUUUGGCACCUCGAUGUCGGCUCAUCGCAUCCUGGGGCGGUAGUACGUCCCAAGGGUUGGGCUGUUCGCCCAUGAAAGCGGUACGCGAGCUGGGUUCAGAACGUCGUGAGACAGUUCGGUCCAUAUCCGGUGUAGGCGUUAGAAUAUUGAGAGGAGCCUUCUUUAGUACGAGAGGACCGAGAAGGACAUACCUCUGGUGUACCAGUUAUCGUGCCAACGGUAAACGCUGGGUAGCUAUGUAUGGAGAGGAUAACCGCUGAAAGCAUCUAAGUGGGAAGCCCACCUCAAGAUGAGUA
rnacentral:rRNA from 1 species